GGAAUUUUCCGCAAUGGGCGAAAGUCUGACGGAGCGACGCUGCGUGAAGGAUGACGGCCUGCGGGUUGUAAACCUCUUUUCUCAAGGAAGAAGUUCUGACGGUACUUGAGGAAUAAGCAUCGGCUAACUCUGUGCCAGCAGCCGCGGUAAUACGGAGGAUGCAAGUGUUAUUCGGAAUGAUUGGGCGUAAAGCGUCUGUAGGCUGUAUAGAAAGUCUUUUGUUAAAUGCCUCGGCUCAACCGAGAUCCAGCAAAGGAAACUUCUAUACUUGAGGGAAGUAGAGGUACAGGGAAUUCCCGGUGGAGCGGUGAAAUGCGUAGAUAUCGGGAGGAACACCAAUAUGGCGAAGGCACUGUACUGGGCUUUACCUGACGCUCAGAGACGAAAGCUAAAGGAGUGAUUAGGAUUAGAUACCCCAGUAGUC
rnacentral:rRNA from 1 species